rnacentral:rRNA from 1 species
AUUGAACGCUGGCGGCAUGCCUUACACAUGCAAGUCGAACGGUAAUGGGCCUUCGGGUGCCGACGAGUGGCGAACGGGUGAGUAAUACAUCGGAACGUGCCCGAUCGUGGGGGAUAACGAGGCGAAAGCUUUGCUAAUACCGCAUACGAUCUACGGAUGAAAGCAGGGGACCGCGAGGCCUUGCGCGGACGGAGCGGCCGAUGGCAGAUUAGGUAGUUGGUGGGAUAAAAGCUUACCAAGCCGACGAUCUGUAGCUGGUCUGAGAGGAUGAUCAGCCACACUGGGACUGAGACACGGCCCAGACUCCUACGGGAGGCAGCAGUGGGGAAUUUUGGACAAUGGGCGCAAGCCUGAUCCAGCCAUGCCGCGUGCAGGAUGAAGGCCUUCGGGUUGUAAACUGCUUUUGUACGGAACGAAAAGCCUUCUUUUAAUACAGGAGGGUCAUGACGGUACCGUAAGAAUAAGCACCGGCUAACUACGUG